rnacentral:pre_miRNA from 1 species
ACAGAGUCCUGACCUCAACCCGACAGAACACCUUUGGGAUGAAUCGGAGACUCUGAGCC